GUCAAACAUUGAGGUUAUAAGAAAAAUGAGUUGCGCAAUUUGUAUUAUACCAAGGCUCCACCCUGCAAACGUUUUUUGUAUGGAAUAUCUCAGAAAAGGUGGAGUUUUUGAGGUUGGAUAUGCGUGCCAAUGGUCUGACUACUACCAAAGACCAUGUGAAGGGGAGAAUAAAGCUAGGAAAGCGGAUCCUGGGCUCCGACGCUCUAUAGCUCUGGGAAGAAACUGGGACUGCGGUCAAAUGAAACAGAUGGCAAACAUCACGAACUGUGGGUGUUAAAUUAAACACUUAAACACCCAUAUUUUUCAGAGAAAUUGUAUAUAUUUUGGAAAUAAUAAAUUUAUAUAUCUAUACUAUUAUUUUAAGCAUUUGUUAGUGAGAGAGACUUUGUGAGUUUGAGGCGGGUAAGCUCCAAAACUACUGAAAAAUUUUUCAAGAUAUUAUCCAAUAUAUAAGAAUUUAUCCAAGAUUGCUAUAGGCUAUAUUUUAUCUCAAAAUUCCCACGGGAGCGAAGCCGCGGGCAACAUCUAGUACUAAUAAAAACCUUAGUAUAAAUUCAAACCUUAGUGGUAUCAAUAUGCUAAGUUAAUUACUUAAUGUUUUGUAAUAUCUUUUAUAAGAUAAUUAAUUAAUAAAAUAAUUUAAAAAAAAAACUAUAUUUUCCCGUGACAUGACAUAUAUUUCGGAAAUCAUAAAUGUAUAAAUAUAUUUUUAAUACUUACUUAAAUAUAUUUUUAUGUAACUCUAAUCUUCAGACAUAUAAAAAUAACAUCCUUGUUUCGUUUUAACGUGAAAAAGACAAACAAAAUAACAAAAUACAUACAUCUGUAGUAUACUAUAUUUACAAUCUUAAAUAUAUAUAUAUAUAUAUAUAUAUAUAUAUAUAUAUAUAAUUUAAGUACUUAUGUAACUACCUACACGUGUAACGCAGCUACGCUUUGUUUGGAAUCUCUUUCGAUGUAUUUCGCCUGCGCUGGCACAUUUGGAUCUACUGUCAUAAAUUUUAAAAUUCUAAAUCCGCUCGAACACUUUGCCGCGUAAACAUUACGACCAAGCUAGCGAGGCAAGAGGGUGGCCGUGAUAAAUUUAUAAACAUUAAACAAAAUGAUAAGAACAGACCCAAUAAGGGUAAGUGCUCCAUUUAUUCUGAAUAUAUAUAACGUAUCACCUAAUCUCUAUUUUAGAAUUUUAAUUUAUAUUUAAUUGCUCUAGGUCUUACCUUAAAUUUUAUAAUAAACUGACUUCACUACCUACUGCCUAGUGCCUAUUUACUAUCAAACCCACAAUAAAACCCCGACACACGUAAGACUCAAGUAAAUUUAAUUCUAUGUAUAUUAAAUACAGAUUAUAUCACCCUGUACAUAGCCACAGCCGCCUGUAUAACCGUCGGAUCCCGUCACAACGCGAUAUGUCUAUUAACCAUAAGCCGCUUAGUGUAAGUUCGAUUCUCAGUUUAAAAAUAAAACUAUUGUGUACAGAAUGUUUUGGGCUAGGUCAUAAGCGGCGGCGAAUUUAAUAAAUUAUAUUUUAAAUAUACAUGUAUGUUUGUAUUCUUUUGGUAACAUAUAAUAUCAGUAUUAGAAAAUAUAAUAAGUAUUUUGUAUAUUAUAAAUUAUGUUUGUAAUUAAAUAUAAGAAAUUUACUGUCACCCAUGUACAGACAACAGCACAUCAACCUACCCAAAUUCAUUGCAAGUUCGCCGCUAUUACCACGACAUAGAGGUACAUACAGGGUAACUUGAUGUACUAUUGACUGCACUCCGAUUUUUUUAUAAACUUGUAAACUCGUCGUCUCAAAAUAAUUCAAUUGUUACCCUAUAAUCCUCACAUGAGAAUCCUGCACGAAAUAUUUCACAACAAUUUCUAUUUUUUUUUUAAACAGCAGUAUUAUAUAGUGGAAAAACGAGCAUGUGGAUUACCAGAUGGUAAGCAAAGACCGCAGUCCAUAGAUCAGGAGAAAUGAAAAUAAUUGCCAAGUGUGAGUGAUGUGACUUUAGAAUUUUACAGAAUCGCAAAGCAGCAGUCCGAUGUGGGUCACCAAUGCGCUGUAGAUUUUUUGAGAAAGCGAUAAACUCUUUUCUCGCCCACGGCCUUUGCCGAAACUAAUUUUUAAGUUUCAAAUAUGGAGAAGUUAUUGUUUGAUAUCCAUGAGUUGAUAUCCUAAAAUAGUGAUUUCUUUUUUUAGAGAGUGUUAAUGCUAACACUAAUGUCGGACUUUAU